rnacentral:lncRNA from 1 species
AAUAGGGUGGUUGGUGUGUUGCAUAGUUCUAGAGAUAGGAUUUCACUCAAAACCCACCAAAUGACUCCUCCCACAAUAUUAUGAUGUUCCCCAAGUUUUGGACUCAAUCCGAUAUCGAUUGGUGCUCGAAAUCGGACAGUUCAAGUUCGUAUGAAGUUCGUUCUGAAAUGGGGCGGUUGGUGUAUUGUAUUCUAGAGAUUGGAUUUCCCUCAAAACCCACCAAAUGACUCCUCCCACAAUAUUAUUAUGUUCCCCAAGUUUUGGACUCAAUCCGAUAUCGAUUGGUCCUUGAAAUCGGACAAUUCAGGUUCGUACGAAGUUCCUUCUGAAAUGGGGUGGUUGGUGUAUUGAAUAGUUCUAGAGAUUGGAUUUCACUAAAAACCCACCAAAUGACUCCUCCCACAAUAUUAUGAUGUUCCCCUGGUUUUGGACUCAAUCCGAUAUCGAUCGGGUCCACGAAAUUUGACAAUUCAGGUUCAUACGAAGUUCGUUCUGAAAUGGAGGUGGUUUGGUGUAUUGCAUCGUUCUAGGGAUUGUAUUUUCACUCAAGACCCACCAAAUGACUCCUCCCACAAUAUUGUGAUCUUCCCCAAGUUUUGGACUCAAUCCGUUAUCGAUUGGUUAAUGAAAUCGGACAAUUCAGGUUCGUACGAAGUUCGUUCUGAAAUGGGGUGAUUGGUGUAUUGUAUAGUUCUAGAGAUUGAAUUUCACUAAAAACCCACCAAAUGACUCCUCCCACAAUAUCAUGGUGUUCCCCAAGUUUUGGACUCAAUCCGAUAUCGAUCGGUCCACGAAAUUUGACAGUUCAGGUUCGUACGAAUUUCGUUCUGAAAUGGAGUGGUUGGUGUAUUGUAUAGUUCUAGGGAUUGUAUUUCACUCAAAACAUACCAAAUGACUCCUCCCACAAUAUUAUGAUGUUCCCCAAGUUUUGGACUCAGUCCAUUAUCGAGUGGUAAAUGAAAUCAGACAAUUCAGGUUGGUACGACGUUCGUUCUGAAAUGGGGUGGUUGGUGUAUUGUAUAGUUCUAGAGAUUGGAUUUCACUCAAAACCAACCAAAUGACUACUCCCACAAUAUUAUGGGGUUCCCCAAGUUUUGGACUCAAUCCGAUAUCGAUCGGUCCACGAAAUUUGACAAUUCAGGUUCGUACGAAGUUCGUUCGUAAAUGGGGUGGUUGGUGUAUUGUAUAGUUCUAGAGAUUGGAUUUCACUCAAAACCCACCAAAUGACUCCUCCCACAAUAUUAUUAUGUUCCCCAAGUUUUGGACUCAAUCCGAUAUCGAUUGGUCCUUGAAAUCAGACAAUUCAGGUUCGUACGAAGUUC